rnacentral:rRNA from 1 species
AUUGAACGCUGGCGGCAGGCCUAACACAUGCAAGUCGAGCGGUAACAGGUCCUUCGGGAUGCUGACGAGCGGCGGACGGGUGAGUAAUGCAUAGGAAUCUGCCCGGUAGUGGGGGAUAACCUGGGGAAACCCAGGCUAAUACCGCAUACGUCCUACGGGAGAAAGGGGGCUUCGGCUCCCGCUAUUGGAUGAGCCUAUGUCGGAUUAGCUGGUUGGUGAGGUAACGGCUCACCAAGGCGACGAUCCGUAGCUGGUCUGAGAGGAUGAUCAGCCACAUCGGGACUGAGACACGGCCCGAACUCCUACGGGAGGCAGCAGUGGGGAAUAUUGGACAAUGGGGGCAACCCUGAUCCAGCCAUGCCGCGUGUGUGAAGAAGGCCCUCGGGUUGUAAAGCACUUUCAGCGAGGAAGAACGCCUGGCGGUUAAUACCCGCCAGGAAA